UACGUAGGGGGCUAGCGUUGUCCGGAAUCAUUGGGCGUAAAGAGCGUGUAGGCGGCUCGGUAAGUCCGCUGUGAAAGCCCUGGGCUCAACCUAGGAAGUGCAUUCGAAACUGCGGGGCUGGAGUCCUGGAGAGGAAGGCGGAAUUCUCGGUGUAGAGGUGAAAUUCGUAGAUAUCGAGAGGAACACCGGUGGCGAAGGCGGCCUUCUGGACAGUGACUGACGCUGAGACGCGAAAGCGUGGGGAGCAAACAGG
rnacentral:rRNA from 1 species